UUCAUUUCAGAGAAGUUUAUUUUUUGUAUAACAAACUUCACAACUUAUAGGAAGCUAGAAUAAUUGUAAGAACAUUUGCAGCAUUGAACACUACUUUAAGUAAAACAAAAAAUGGUAGCCUCGAGAACAAGUGACCCAAUUGGCACAGUGACAUCUUUCUACAUACGUGACUACUGGUGGAUGUAAACUUGAUAAACCAGUCUAAA
rnacentral:lncRNA from 1 species